rnacentral:rRNA from 1 species
UACGUAGGGGGCUAGCGUUGUCCGGAAUCAUUGGGCGUAAAGCGCGCGUAGGCGGCCAGAUAAGUCCGGUGUGAAAGUCAAAGGCUCAACCUUUGAAUGCCGCUGGAAACUGUCUGGCUUGAGUCCGGAAGGGGCGAGUGGAAUUCCUGGUGUAGCGGUGAAAUGCGCAGAUAUCAGGAGGAACACCAAUGGCGAAGGCAGCUCGGUGGAAAGGUACUGACGCUGAGGCGCGAAAGCGUGGGGAGCGAACAGG